UACGGGGGGAGCAAGCGUUGUUCGGAUUUACUGGGCGUAAAGGGCGCGUAGGCGGUCGUGACAAGUCACUUGUGAAAUCUCCGGGCUUAACUCGGAACGGUCAAGUGAUACUGUCGGACUAGAGUACAGAAGGGGCAACUGGAAUUCUCGGUGUAGCGGUGAAAUGCGCAGAUAUCAGGAGGAACACCGGUAGCGAAGGCGGGUCUCUGGGCCGUAACUGACGCUGAGGAGCGAAAGCAUGGGGAGCGAACAGG
rnacentral:rRNA from 1 species